GGCAAAGAUAAAGCUGCUAUAUAUAAAUAUUUAUUUCGCGUGAUUCGUUCACAAUAAUAAUAAUUACCCUUUUAUCUAUAAUUAUUGUUAUUAUUAUCCAACGUCAAUGAGUAACAAACCGUCGGCCACUCCCCAGCGGUAGACGGUAAUAUCUUCGAGAAAUUACAUACGGUCGCGACUGAGGAUGAAGGAUAACCGUUGCCACAUAUGGUGGUUGGAUUUUUGAAGACGAGAUAUAGUUAGAGCCGGAAUAUCUCGAAAGAACUAUCUUGUUCCAAACGGAUAGCCCUUGAUCUAUGUGCGGAAGUGAUAAAAUCGCCAACAAUGAGGCGGCGGUAAUUACACGUAAUCGGCGAGUGCGACGAAAAAAAAUACAAUAAUCCUUCUUUAGUUGGUGUCUAGUCAUUCUGCUUAGCCUGUAGUUAUGGUUAAUCAAUACUGAGCAGAAGGGAUUGGUACUAUCCGAAUGUGUACGUUAUGCUCACCGAGCUUCUGAGGUUUUAGAUGCAUCGAAUACGAAAGAGCAUAUUUUGGCAUAAUCGUCCUGGCCCAGA